CCAACCUGCCGAUAACUCGGGGAUAGCCUUUCGAAAGAAAGAUUAAUAUCCGAUGGUAUAUUUUCUCCGCAUGGUGAGAAUAUUAAAGAAUUUCGGUUAUCGGUGGGGAUGCGUUCCAUUAGUUUGUUGGCGGGGUAACGGCCCACCAAACCGACGAUGGAUAGGGGUUCUGAGAGGAAGGUCCCCCACAUUGGUACUGAGACACGGACCAA
rnacentral:rRNA from 1 species